rnacentral:piRNA from 1 species
UGUCUGAAGAUAUUUGAGAGUUCAGAGACC